AAAUAUUAUUUCUGUGGUUUCGCAUUUUCUCUUUUUAUUAUCGAUUCCACUAAUUUUUUUCGUUAAAUUAGUAAUAAAGUUAAAACUAAAGGGUACUAAAGUGAAUAUUCGAUAAACCUAGAUAAGAUAUAUGAAGUUUUUUUGUAUAUAAUUUAACGAAAUAUUAGCGAAAAAGCUGACGAAAAGAUAAAAAUUAAACCACAGGGAAACUAACUUGAUACAGUUUUAAAUCACAUGGUACUAAAGUGAGAAAGUGCGAAACCACAAGAGUAAGAAAUUUACUCUUUUAAAUUUAUAUUGUUGAUGCUUUAAAAUUAAAUUUUAAU
rnacentral:lncRNA from 1 species